AUGGCCCGAGCACACAAGAAGGCUGCAUCUGUCAUUAGUAUUAACCCUAAGGAGGUCUCCCAAACACAUGCUUCUUCAUCACCGGAUGUGCCACGAACCCCUUUGAGCGACAUAGCCAACUCAAACACAACCGAUGCAGCUGCAACCUCAGCUUAUACCGACCAUCCAUCUGAAGAUGUCGCUCUUGGGCGCAAAAAACGAAGCUCUGAAACGUGGUAUUCACGUCUAUCCGAUGAGGAGAGAGCAGAGCACUGCAAGAAGCUCCGGAUCGCUCGACUAGAAAAGAAAGCUGCUACCACUAGCGUCCAAGUAUCACCUGACAGAUGGUCAUAUUGA
rnacentral:rRNA from 1 species